GGGGGUGUUCUGGUUUCGACAGGGAUAUGUCUGAUACGGACUGCAGCCGAGUGAUUACGUAAUAAUCAACUUAAAUUAAACGCAAAAACUAAACUUGCUAACGUGUUCGGUGGAAACCGUGCCGUUGCUUUCGCUGCUUAAUAACCGACGAUAGGUUCGCAGCCUCCCGUCAACAGAGUGUUCUGCGCUGUUGCGGUGAGCAGAAUUCAGUGGAACUCAAGGCAGGGAACUCGUUUCGCUUCCCUGCACGAAAAUUCAGAAACACAUUCAGCAGCUGUCAGCUCAUGCGCAAACUGCUGAAUUAUCCAGACAUGAGAUAAGCUGUAGACGUCUGUAUGGGGGACUGUUUCUGGACAGGGGUUCGAUCCCCCUCACCUCCACCA
rnacentral:tmRNA from 1 species